AGAGUUUGAUCCUGGCUCAGGACGAACGCUGGCGGCGUGCUUAACACAUGCAAGUCGAACGGAAAGGCCCUGCUUUUGUGGGGUGCUCGAGUGGCGAACGGGUGAGUAACACGUGAGUAACCUGCCCUUGACUUUGGGAUAACUUCAGGAAACUGGGGCUAAUACCGGAUAGGAGCUCCUGCUGCAUGGUGGGGGUUGGAAAGUUUCGGCGGUUGGGGAUGGACUCGCGGCUUAUCAGCUUGUUGGUGGGGUAGUGGCUUACCAAGGCUUUGACGGGUAGCCGGCCUGAGAGGGUGACCGGCCACAUUGGGACUGAGAUACGGCCCAGACUCCUACGGGAGGCAGCAGUGGGGAAUAUUGCACAAUGGGCGGAAGCCUGAUGCAGCAACGCCGCGUGCGGGAUGACGGCCUUCGGGUUGUAAACCGCUUUCGCCUGUGACGAAGCGUGAGUGACGGUAAUGGGUAAAGAAGCACCGGCUAACUACGUGCCAGCAGCCGCGGUGAUACGUAGGGUGCGAGCGUUGUCCGGAUUUAUUGGGCGUAAAGGGCUCGUAGGUGGUUGAUCGCGUCGGAAGUGUAAUCUUGGGGCUUAACCCUGAGCGUGCUUUCGAUACGGGUUGACUUGAGGAAGUAGGGGAGAAUGGAGUUCCUGGUGGAGCGGUGGAAUGCGCAGAUAUCAGAGGAACACCAGUGGCGAAGGCGGUUCUCUGGGCCUUUCCUGACGCUGAGGAGCGAAAGCGUGGGGAGCGAACAGGCUUAGAUACCCUGGUAGUCACGCUGUAAACGGUGGGUACUAGGUGUGGGGUCCAUUCCACGGGUUCCGCGCCGUAGCUAACGCUUUAAGUACCCCGCCUGGGGAGUACGGCCGCAAGGCUAAAACUCAAAGGAAUUGACGGGGCCCCGCACAAGCGGCGGAGCAUGCGGAUUAAUUCGAUGCAACGCGUAGAACCUUACCUGGGUUUGACAUGGAUCGGCAGUGCUCAGAGAUGGGUGUGCCUCUUUUGGGGUCGGUUCACAGGUGGUGCAUGGCUGUCGUCAGCUCGUGUCGUGAGAUGUUGGGUUAAGUCCCGCAACGAGCGCAACCCUUGUUCACUGUUGCCAGCACGUUAUGGUGGGGACUCAGUGGAGACCGCCGGGGUCAACUCGGAGGAAGGUGGGGAUGACGUCAAGUCAUCAUGCCCCUUAUGUCCAGGGCUACACGCAUGCUACAAUGGCUGGUACAGAGAGUGGCGAGCCUGUGAGGGUGAGCGAAUCUCGGAAAGCCGGUCUCAGUUCGGAUUGGGGUCUGCAACUCGACCUCAUGAAGUCGGAGUCGCUAGUAAUCGCAGAUCAGCAACGCUGCGGUGAAUACGUUCCCGGGGCUUGUACACACCGCCCGUCAAGUCAUGAAAGUUGGUAACACCCGAAGCCGGUGGCCUAACCGUUGUGGGGGAGCCGUCGAAGGUGGGACUGGUGAUUAGGACUAAGUCGUAACAAGGUAGCCGUACCGGAAGGUGCGGCUGGAUCACCUCCU
rnacentral:rRNA from 1 species